GUAUAAUGUAAAUUGUGGUUGUUAAACUUCAAAAUGAAAAUUUAUUUUAUUUUUGCAAUCGUUGUUUGUAUCUUGUUUGCUCUUAUGUCUUCAGGGCUAGGCAUGGAGCAAACCGCUUCCAAAUUAGGUAACGUUUUAAACGUUCCUAAAGGAGUUCGUCCAAGUGACGAAAGAAAAGGAAAUUGCAACGGAAAUCGUACAUCAACUACCACUCAAGCUAGCACGGGGUAAAAAAAUGUUGAAAGAAACGGCUUGAUUUAUGACGACGAAUAUUAUCUUUUUUGUGUAGAAUAUGUAGAAUUUAAUAAAAUCGUUUAAACCAAAA